rnacentral:tRNA from 2 species
GGUCUCAUGGUGUAACGGUCAGCACUCCGGAUUCUGAAUCCAGCAGCCCGAGCCCAAAUCUCAGUGAGACCU